ensembl:lncRNA
AAUCACCACAACUUCUGUUGAAAAGAAACAAAGCCCAAACGAUUGGCUCUUGUCUGCUUAAUCCUACCCCCACUUAGUGCCUCUCAAGUUUCAAACAGCAGUCCUGCCUACCGACUUUCUGUUCUUUCUGCUUAGUCCUUUAAGCUGUUAAUUAGGUGCCUUCUUAGUGAUUCUGUGAGCCCCUUAGGUAUUUGCAUUCCUAAAUGUUUCCAGGGGUUCAAUAGAACUCAUUUCACAUACCCAAGAAGUGUGCAGCCUUGGCUUUUAGUAACUACUCAACUUAAUAGGCUUUCAAGCUAUUACUGUCUUCAAGAAACACAUCUACAAAACUCUGCCAGAAGCUGCUAUGGGUGGGAGCGUUUUGCACUGCUCUUCUUGAAACCGAAGCAUUGUACAGCCCAGCAGGCAAUAGCCACAGACAAAACAGAUCAGAUAGAAAAGGUGUUGCAGGGAGUAGUCUGUAAGUUUAACUCUGCCUAGCUCUGGAUGUAGACUUUCUGGUUCUACUGCCACUCUUCAGAAAUGUGAAGAAGAGAUUGAAAAUGUGGUGUGCAGAAGCCAGGAAGGAAAAUCUCAUGCUUUUAAGAACUCUGCUCUGUAAUUGGAUGAAUCUACCUUCUCUGCUUAAAAGUAGAGAAGACAGAUGAAUGAGCUUGAGCUGUACUUUCAAGGCUUACCACAUGUAGCAGUCUGAAGGGGAUCUGUGGAGUUUGUCUUGAGAAAAUACCACUGUUUGGGAACUAUUCCAGCUCCCAGAUGCUGAGCAUUUUGCUGUUGACCUCAGGUGCUGAAUUAACAUGAUGCAACCCAGAGAUGCAAGGGAUUUCUUUCAUUAACAGUGCUGUGAUGCUAGUGAGAACAGAAGAUGUGUUUCCUAGACAACCACCAUCACUCUUUAGGUUUCAUGUGGGUUGGUGAGUUGAAUUGCCUCAUGGAGAGUCGCGGGAGCUGAAGGCUGACACAAGUUGAGCAACAAAGUGGGAGAAGAAGGGGGGAGAGUUGGGCUUGCUCAAAAUCCAGCAACACCUCUUUCACUAAUUGGAUACUAGGAGCUUUAAAUACUGUCACUUAUCUAACCUUUUACAAUUAAUAUUAAUGGAAAUUAAUUACCAGGAAAAAGGAGGUGUUCUACUGUCAUCAUUAGGAAGAUGUGGAACAGUUUAUCAUGAAAACUAUUUACUGGCAUGUGAAGAACAGAAGUUUGAUUGUAAACAUCCAGUGUGGAUCUACCAAGAGCAAAUUGUGCUGGACCAACCUGGAUUGACUGUUACGGUGAAGUGACACUGCUGUGCACGAAGAGCCUGUGACUUUGUCCUCAAGACUCAAGCCUGAAGAAAACAUCCAGCUUGAAUCUUAUUUCUAUCUUUCUAUCAAAAACCUGGUGCUUGGUCACCAGGCCUCACCUCCUUCCAAAGAUGCUGUGUGGGGAAGUAGCGCCUGGCUGAGCAGGGCUCCCUCUGACCUUCCUUCUACUCCUGCCUAGAAGUGGCCAGCAUCCCACAUCUGCCCCACACCUGGAUGAUGUAAAAGAGGAGAACCUUAAUUAGCGAACAUGGUGAGCCAUUCCAAGAGUCCCCACAAAGCACAUAAAGCCUAUUCAGGUUUGUUUCAGAAUGGAUGGCAUAUACAGAGAAGUGUUAGGUUGUUUGUAAUUGUCAACACCUUUGGUGCUUAUCUGCUGGCAUGGGCCACGAGGAACAGCCCAGUGACUGCUUGUAUCUAUUUCCCAGCUGUCACAAUGUACUCGGUCAUCUCUGUUGGCUAUCACCUGUCAGAUGGACAGCAAAUCCAUUUUCUAAGAAGCACAGAGGUUUUAUUAUUAUCUGAGAAUGCUAUGAGAUUUCUUAAUCAAUCUGAACGUUCAGUGUGGCAUCCUACAUUUCAAGGUGACAUACAAGAGCCUUCCUGAAAGGGAAUCUCUGGCACCUGGCCCUAACUGCUUUCUGCCACAUACGGCCCUGCUAUCAGUAAUGGGUAUAUGACCAAGGGUAGAACAGAGCUCUGUAUUUCUGGGUUACCAUGAAAUGAUCCAUUGUGCCCUGCAAUCUACCGACAGGCAAUCUGGGACAACAAGGCACAUAACUUCAUCUUGAUAUUUUGAGAAAUGGGGACGUAAGAAUUAGAACGUUCUUGUUGGCUGCUUUAAUGCUUUUUUUCAUGACAGCAAA